GUCACGCCAGUGGCAUGGCUGGAAAGCUAAGUAGGGAAAGGAUAACCGCUGAAGGCAUCUAAGCGGGAAGCCUACUUCAAGAUGAGAUCUCCCAACAAGUAAGACCCCUUGAAGACUACAAGGUAGAUAGGACACAAGUGUAAGUGCAGUGAUGUAUUAAGCUGAGUGUUACUAAUAGGUCGAGGACUUAACCUU
rnacentral:rRNA from 1 species